AAGACUAUAGACCUGCGGAGUACCUGCGGAGGGAUCAUUAAAGAGAAAACUGCCCUUUGGGUAGAUCUCCCACCCUUUGUUUAUAUUACCUUUGUUGCUUUGGCAGGCCCGUCUCUGACCACCGGCUCUUUGGCUGGUCUGUGCCUGCCAAGAGACCUCCAACUCUUGAUUUGAAGUUGUCCAAGUCUUAUAUAAUAGUAAAAACUUUCAACAACGGAUCUCUAGAUCGGAAGAGCACAC
rnacentral:misc_RNA from 1 species